UUCAUUAGAAGUAACGAGUUGACACAAGGUAAAUCUUAAUGUCGAGGCGCCUUUCUCUAGCGGCCUGGGGAGGAGCCCUCAUUAACUGUCGCUAACAACCCGUGUAAAUACUCUGAUUGGACAGCUCCGACACAAGCGCCCAGUCCUGCCAGGAAGUCCCCCUAAUGAG
rnacentral:sRNA from 1 species